rnacentral:lncRNA from 1 species
UUAUGAAGAUAGUGAAGAGAGUAUUAUAAGUGACAAGGAUGUUAAAAAAUCAGUUGAUAGUGAAGGAGAUAUUACUUCAUGGAGAGCCAGUGAUGGGGAUGAAACAGAGGGACAAGACACUGAAGAAGAAGAUACUGAAGAAGGAGAUACUGAAGAAGAAUAUAUUGAGGGGGAAGUUACUGAAAAUAAUGGUAUUAAAACAAAUGUAGAUGAUAUCUGUGAUGAUAAUAAUAAUAAUAAUAAUAACUUAUUAAACAAAAUUGACAACAAUAAAAGUUUAACACAUAAAAAAGCAAAUAACAACCAUAAAAUUUCUAGCUCCGAUUCAUUAAAUGAAGACUCUGAUAAUGAAUUGAAUGAAAAUGUAAUCGAAGAAGAAGAAGAAUAUAAUACACUAUUAUGUGCAGAAGAAGAUAAAAAUAAAUCCGUUGAUGAACAAAAGGAAAAGGGAACUGCAAACCAUUACCCAGAUGAAAAAAAAAACAAAUUACAUUCAGAAAGAAAACAAAAGGAUGCUUCUCAAUUUUAUGGGAAAAGGGAUUUUGUUAAUAUGGAAACAAUACAAAUGUGUGUCAAUAAAAAUGAAUUUUUUAAUGUUGAAAUUAACGGUAACAAAAAGAGAACAAAUAAAUAAAUAAAUAAUACAAUUAUUCAUACUAUAUGUACUUAAAACAUAAAACACUUUUCUUGUGCAAAAAUAGUAAUUUUCAACAU